AAGGGUUUACCCUUGUUCUCACCAAAUUCACCAAAUUGACAAGGAAAAAUCGAUGCUUAACAGUUUGCAUGUAGUAAAAUUUCGAUCAUCUACCCAUACCCGGUGAAGUGGUGCGAAGGAAGAAGGUUCCAACUCUAAGAAAUCGGAAGGAUCACAAGACUGAGGUAAAUACUCAAUUUAGGCGACUUGGAGAAUUGGAGCGAGCACAUGUUCAUGAUAUGUCAUACCGAACGCUUCCGCUAGUUGCACUUAUGUUUUGGGUCAAAUUUCCAUUUUGUACAACUUGUUAGUAGUCGUAUAUUUUAAAACUUGUUGCCUUUGUUUUCGGUAGUAUUAUUUCAAACGGAUCGUAGGAUGUUAAUUAGUUUGAUUAUGUUCAAAACAGGGGCAUGCUCGUUUUAUGGACGGGUCAUGCCCAAAUUUUGUAAAAAUGAUGCAUCAAGUUGGUACUUUUGAUGUCUUUAAGUUA